GGAACGGGGUGACCCAGGCCCCUGCAGGUGGUGGGCUUAGGGCACCAGCCAAAGGGAAACCUAAGAGAUGGGCAAGGUCAGCUUAGAAAAAGAUUGUCCAGAGUCUGAAACUCAAAAGUCUAGAAAGAAAACACGUCCUGUCCGCUGACAUGUAUAAUUUAAGAUAUGUUCCUCCUUUUCAAUCUCAUGAAGGGUUGAAACAUGUACGCAAGUAUGAGUUCCGGUCUCCUUCUUUCCCCCUGAAUCCCGUGUGAGGGGCGGGGGUCGUAACAGUCCCAGGGCCGAGCCUCCGUCAUCUGCCCCAGCCCAGGGCGAGGCUGAUUUCCACCCUCCCGCAGGGGCUGCAGACCCAGAGCCCAAGGACAGAGGCCUGCAGAGCAGCUCCUGCCCAGCCGCCGCCGCCCAGGACCAGGCCCUCUAUGCUGCCGUGAAGGACACACAGCCUGAGGAGGCGGAGCAGCCGGACCAUCCGCAGAACAGGCAGGAUGCAGACCCCCGGGAGGGGACGGACGCCCAGGUGAACCACUCAAGAUCAAGACUAAGGCGGGGGGUGGCCACCUCUCCUUCCUCCCUGUCGGGGAGAUUGCUGGACACGAAGGACAGACAAGCGGAAAAGGACAUGCAGAGGGACAGUCAGGUGGGUCCCUUCCUGUCCGAGCCCCCAGGCUUCCCCCACCCCAACCACACACUCUCCCUCUCCCCCACUGCAGGCUGCCGCAUCUGAAGCCCCCCAGGAUGUGACCUAUGCCCAGCUGAACCACUCGACCUUCAGACGGGAGACUGCACCCCCUGCCCCCCAGUCAGGAGAGGCCCCAGAAGAGCCCAGCGUGUAUGCUGCUCUCGCCGUCCGCUAGCCCAGGAAGGACCCAGACCCCACGCUCCAGGGAGGAAGACUGCACGGACCUCGGAAGGCACAGGAGCUGCCCGCAGUGGACACCACCUAACGACCCUUAGCCUGGACUCCCAACCAGGAGCUUCUGGGACCUUUUGGGUGUCACCGGAUUCUACCUUCAAAGAUAACUAAUAUCCUUACAUUUGGGAAAUAAUGCAACAGACUUCUCAAAAAUCAAUGUGUAAAUUGA